AUUGUGUUCUCGGGGAGCUGGAACCAUCCGGCUGAGAGGAAGGUAGCAUCCUUCGACCCAAACACCUGAUCUGGAUAAUGCCAGCGUAGGAGACAUCAUGAUCGGAAAA
rnacentral:ncRNA from 2 species